rnacentral:rRNA from 1 species
AACGAACGCUGGCGGCGUGCUUAACACAUGCAAGUCGCACGAGAAAUCCUGGGCAACUGGGAGAGUAAAGUGGCGCACGGGUGAGUAACGCGUGGGUAACCUACCCUUAGAUUUGGGAUAACCUCGCGAAAGCGUGGCUAAUACCGAAUGAUAUGUUGAUUUCCGAGGGAUUUGACAUCAAAGGUGGCCUCUGCAUGCAAGCUAUCGACUAAGGAUGGGCCCGCGUACCAUUAGCUGGUUGGUAGGGUAAUAGCCUACCAAGGCUACGAUGGUUAGCUGGUCUGAGAGGACGGCCAGCCACACUGGAACUGAGACACGGUCCAGACACCUACGGGUGGCUG